rnacentral:rRNA from 1 species
GAUCAUGGCUCAGGAUGAACGCUAGCUACAGGCUUAACACAUGCAAGUCGAGGGGCAGCAUGGUCUUAGCUUGCUAAGACUGAUGGCGACCGGCGCACGGGUGAGUAACACGUAUGCAACUUACCUAUCAGAGGGGGAUAGCCCGGCGAAAGUCGGAUUAAUACCCCAUAAACAGGGGUCCCGCAUGGGAAUAUUUGUUAAAGAUUCAUCGCUGAUAGAUAGGCAUGCG